AUUUUGAUGGCGACCGGCGGACGGGUGCGUAACACGUAUGUAACCUACCUUUUUCUAGAAAAUAGCCUGAGGAAACUCGGAUUAAUAUUCUAUAAUACAGUAUUUUCGCAUGAAAAUAUUAUUAAAGCAGAAAUGUGGGAAAAAAUGGGCAUGCGCCCGAUUAGUUAGUUGGUGGGGUAAAGGCCUACCAAGACGAUGAUCGGUAGGGGGCCUGAGAGGGUGAUCCCCCACACUGGUACUGAGAUACGGACCAGACUCCUACGGGAGGCAGCAGUGAGGAAUAUUGGUCAAUGGAGGAAACUCUGAACCAGCCACGCCGCGUGCAGGAAGAAUGCCUUAUGGGUUGUAAACUGCUUUUGUUUAGGAAUAAAAAUUUCUACGUGAUAGAAAUUCUGAAGGUACUAAACGAAUAAGUGUCGGCAAACUCCGUGCCAGCAGCCGCGGUAAUACGGAGGACACAAGCGUUAUCCGGAUUUAUUGGGUUUAAAGAGUGCGUAGGCGGUUUAUUAAGUCAGUAGUGAAAUGUUACAGCUUAACUGUUAAAAUGGCUAAUGAUACUGAUAGACUUGAGUGAGAUUGGAGUAAUUGGAAUGUGUGGUGUAGCGGUGAAAUGCAUAGAGAUCACACAGAACACCGAUCGCGAAAGCAGGUUACUAAAUCUAUACUGACGCUGAGGCACGAAAGCGUGGGGAGCAAACAGGAUUAGAUACCCUGGUAGUCCACGCCGUAAACGAUGAUCACUAGUCGUUGGAUUUUAUUAUUCAGUGGCUAAGCGAAAGUGAUAAGUGAUCCACCUGGGGAGUACGAUCGCAAGGUUGAAACUCAAAGGAAUUGACGGGGGCCCGCACAAGCGGUGGAGCAUGUGGUUUAAUUCGAUGAUACGCGAGGAACCUUACCAAGGUUUAAAUGUACUACGAAUAAGCUAGAAAUAGUUUAGUCUUCGGACGGAGUACAAGAUGCUGCAUGGUUGUCGUCAGCUCGUGCCGUGAGGUGUUGGGUUAAGUCCCUCAACGAGCGCAACCCUCAUUGUUAGUUGCCAACGAAUAAUGUCGGGGACUCUAGCAAGACUGCCGACGUAAGUCGAGAGGAAGGUGAGGACGACGUCAAAUCAUCACGGCUCUUAUACCUUGGGCUACACACGUGCUACAAUGGUCGGUACAAAGGGUUGCUA
rnacentral:rRNA from 1 species